CGGACGGGUGAGUAACGCGUGGGCAACCUGCCCUGUACUGGGGGAUAACACCUGGAAACAGGUGCUAAUACCGCAUAAGCGCGCAGUGCCGCAUGGCACGGCGCGGAAAACCCCGGUGGUACAGGAUGGGCCCGCGUCUGAUUAGCUGGUUGGCAGGGUAACGGCCUACCAAGGCGACGAUCAGUAGCCGGCCUGAGAGGGUGGACGGCCACACUGGGACUGAGACACGGCCCAGACUCCUACGGAAGGCAGCAG
rnacentral:rRNA from 1 species